rnacentral:lncRNA from 1 species
AUUGAUUGUACCUUACGCACUCUAUAGCGAUUGCCGAUUGGUUUAUUCGAAGGUUGACAUAGAUUAGCCUACUUCUGCUGAAUUUAAAAUUAAAAUUUAUUGAAGUAAAAAAAAAUCUAAAAAUUCAUUAAUAUCACAUAAACGCUAAUUAAAGACUGAGCAUCAUCAAAACCAUUUCAAUGAAAAUUCAGUAAAAAAAAUACUAGCAAAGGAAAAAAAAGUACUCGUCUAUCAGAAGAGAGAAAAGAAAACAAACAAAAACAAAACGAG